rnacentral:rRNA from 1 species
UGGGGAAUUUUGGACAAUGGGCGCAAGCCUGAUCCAGCCAUGCCGCGUGUCUGAAGAAGGCCUUCGGGUUGUAAAGGACUUUUGUCAGGGAAGAAAAGGCUGUUGCUAAUAUCGACAGCUGAUGACGGUACCUGAAGAAUAAGCACCGGCUAACUACGUGCCAGCAGCCGCGGUAAUACGUAGGGUGCGAGCGUUAAUCGGAAUUACUGGGCGUAAAGCGAGCGCAGACGGUUACUUAAGCAGGAUGUGAAAUCCCCGGGCUCAACCUGGGAACUGCGUUCUGAACUGGGUGACUAGAGUGUGUCAGAGGGAGGUAGAAUUCCACGUGUAGCAGUGAAAUGCGUANAGAUGUGGAGGAAUACCGAUGGCGAAGGCAGCCUCCUGGGAUAACACUGACGUUCAUGCUCGAAAGCGUGGGUAGCAAACAGGAUUAGAUACCCUGGUAGUCCACGCCCUAAACGAUGUCAAUUAGCUGUUGGGCAACUUGAUUGCUUUAGUAGCGUAGCUAACGCGUGAAAUUGACCGCCUGGGGAGUACGGUCGCAAGAUUA